UACGUAGGGGGCAAGCGUUGUCCGGAUUUAUUGGGCGUAAAGAGCGUGUAGGCGGUUUGGUAGGUCCGUUGUGAAAUCCCAGAGCUCAACUCUGGAACUGCCUUUGAUACUGUCGAUCUGGAGUAUGGAAGAGGUGAGUGGAAUUCCGAGUGUAGAGGUGAAAUUCGUAGAUAUUCGGAGGAACACCAGUGGCGAAGGCGGCUCACUGGUCCAUUACUGACGCUGAGGUGCGAAAGCGUGGGGAGCAAACAGG
rnacentral:rRNA from 1 species